rnacentral:rRNA from 2 species
GCGAACGCUGGCGGCAGGCUUAACACAUGCAAGUCGAGCGGGCGCAGCAAUGCGUCAGCGGCAGACGGGUGAGUAACGCGUGGGAACAUACCUCUUGGUUCGGAACAACACAGGGAAACUUGUGCUAAUACCGGAUAAGCCCUUACGGGGAAAGAUUUAUCGCCGAGAGAUUGGCCCGCGUCUGAUUAGCUAGUUGGUAGGGUAAUGGCCUACCAAGGCGACGAUCAGUAGCUG